UCAACAUUUUGCACACAGUUUACACCAAAUCUUGAUUGCUUGCCUCCAGGGGCUAGUGGAAUUGUUAUUGUCAAUCAAAAACUUGGUCAGAAUUAAUUAACCUGUCAAUUGUUCAGAAGCUAACAUGUCAAUCUCUAUCACACUUCUGGUUGAAUAUACCUCAACUUUAGAAAGAUUCCAACAGCGCAGUUUUUUCCUCUGUGCAGAUUAGAGAAUGCCUGUUCGAAUAUUUGAUGCCACUCAAGUCAACGCAUUUAUAAUCAUCUAAUUUAAACGAACAGACUGUAAUAGUCACAAGAAUAAUGGACAAUUUUGAUAUGCUUUGAAAUUUGAUACAUUCAAUUAGGAACACGGUCAACUGCAGUAGUCGUCAAAUCUGUGUGAAUUCUCUCAAGAGCCUAUUUCUUGUCGCCUGUCUUUCCAGUCCAAGCCCUUAAUCUGUUGACCUGGCCCAGAAAGAUGAUUGCUGGGUGCUCGGAGGCCACCACUACUACACCUUUGAUGGCCUGGUGUUUAAUAACUACCAUGGAAACUACUCUGGUCCAGAAAUGCACCCACGCCAGUACUGCAGAACCCUUCUCUGUAAAGGUGCAAACUGACCAUGCUCAGAACCACUUUUCAUCUAUUUAAGCACUACAGCUCACUGUGUACAAGGACCACACUGUUAUCCAGAGCGGCUGUUGUUGGAGAGAGCAGUCUGUUCUCGGUCGUUGACACCAGCUUCGGCCUCCAUGUCAAAUACGACUGGUUCUACUACAUCCUGGUAGGCCUGCCCAGAAGAAGCUCUGACGUGUGGCAACAACCAUGGCAACAAGGACAAUGACUUUCGCAUACCAGAGGGUGCUACUGCUAUGGAUGAGGCGGCCUUCGGCUGGAGCUGGAGGAGGGUCUUGGACUAGGAGGGUCAGUCCUGCCAUGUGGACUGUGGAGGUCCCUGCUCCGACACGGAUCUACAGUACAGUAAGGAAAGCUCCAGGACGUCUGGGAUCUGGUCGCAGCAAAACCCUCUCAGUUGGUGCCAUGAUUUGGUGGACCCUAGGGUCUAAUGUCAUCAGUAAGGGCAAGAACCAGGAAGUCCUGUGCCAGAAUCUGCAGGCCUACACAGGUGCUUGUCAGUCCUCCCAGGUUCCCAUCAAGCCAUGAAGGGGCAGCACCUUCUGCCACAGAGCCUGUCCAAAAGGCACAAGGAGUGUGGUGUUCACCUAACACGGCUCUGGUCCUACUCUCAUCUGCGAAUGUUGGCUCAACAAAACUGUGGCGCUGCCUGCAGACCACUGGGAGAACUGCUUCUGUGAACCAGGCCUGGUGCUCAGUGGCACCCUCUGUGUCCAGCCCGAGGACUGCGGCCACUUCCACCAUGAAGAGUACCUGGUGUUGUCCUGUGAGACGAGAUGUGCGUUCCGUGCAGGUGGACACGUCUUGCCAUAAAAUCUCCAAUUGGGAGGGGGAGGAGUGUGGUGUUCAGAAGGGAGUACAUGGCAGCUAUCCAAGGCCCAGAGUGGCACACUGUCUAGCUUCUUAUGGCUGAGGGGCAGUAUUGAGUAGCUUGGCUGAAUAAGUUGCCCAAAGUAAACAGCCUGCUCCUCAGUCUCAGUUGCUAAUAUAUGCAUAUUAUUAUUAGUAUUGGAUAGAAAACACUAAAGUUUCUAAAACUGUUUGAAUGAUGUCUGUGAGUAUAACAGAACUCAUACGGCAGGCAAAAUCCUGAGAAGAAAUCAAAACAGGAAAUGAGAAUUCUGAGCAUUGUAUGUAUUCACCAGAGUGCCCAUUGAAAUCCCCUUGAGAUAUUAAUGUUGCACUGCCUAGGGGUUCCACUAGAUGUCAACCAUCUAUAGAAAUUUGAAUGAGACUUCUAUGGUGUUGUGGGAGUGAAUGAGAGCAGAAUCUAUCAGGUGUCUGGCAGUCAGCCAUUUUCUGAUCAUGCUUUUUCCUCAUGGUAUCCAUUUGCAUCCCAUUGCUCAUGAAGACACAAAGGAAUACUCCGGUUGAAACUUUAUUGAAGCUAUAUGUUAAAAACAUCCUAGUGAUUGAUUCUGUACUUCGUUUUAAAUGUUUCUUCGACCUGUAAUAUAAGUAUUUCUGUUGAAUGAUGUGGCUAUGCAAAAUCACUGGAUGUCUUUGGAACUAGUGAAUGUAACGUGCCAAUGUAAACUCAUAUUUUGAUAAAUAUGAACUUCAUCAAACAAAACAUACAUGUAUUGUGUAACAUGAAGUCCUACGAGUGUCAUCUGAUGAAGAUGAUCAAAGGUUAGUGAUUAAUUUUCUCUCUAUUUGUGGUUUUUGUGACUCUGGCUGGAAAAAUGGAUGUGUUUUUUUCUGUGGCUAUGUGGUGACCUAACAUAAUCGUUUGUGGUGCUUUUGCUGAAAAGCAUAUUUGAAAUCGGACACAGUGGUGGGAUUAACAACAAGAUUAGCUUUAAAUUGGUAUGAGAGACAUGUAUGUUUGAGGAAUUUUAAUUAUGAGAUUUUUUAUGUUUUGAAUUUGGCGCCCUGCACUUUCACUGGCUGUUGUCAUAUCGCUCCUGUUAACGGGAUUGCAGCCAUAAGAACCUAGUGGAUGGCAGAUCCCACUACAACACGUUUGACGGGCAGGCGUUUGAGUUCCAUGGGACGUGACUACAUCCUGCUCCAUACCUGCCAGCUGCACUCUUAAACUGUUGAGGAGUUUAUGGUGGCUUUGCGUCAUGGCAGUGAGAAUGCAUCCCGGGAAAUACACAUGGUCAUCAUACAAAAAUCUCUGAAACUGGAAACACUUGUCUCCCUCACUAGCUGUAAGUACCAACUGUCAGAGCAGCUCACAGAUUACUGCACCUGUACAUAGCCCACCUAUAAUUUAGCCCAAACAACUACCUCUUUCCCUACUGUAUUUAUUUUAUGUAUUUAUUUUGCUCCUUUGCACCCCAUUAUUUUGAUUUCUUGCACAUUCUUCCACUGCAAAUCUACCAUUCCAGUGUUUUACUUGCUAUAUUGUAUUUACUUUGCCACCAUGGCCUUUUUCUUGCCUUUACCUCCCUUAUCUCACCUCAUUUGCUCACAUCGUAUAUAGACUUGCUUAUACUGUAUUAUUGACUGUAUGUUUGUUUUACUCCAUGUGUAACUCUGUGUCGUUGUAUGUGUCGAACUGCUUUGCUUUAUCUUGGCCAGGUCGCAAUUGUAAAUGAGAACUUGUUCUCAACUUGCCUACCUGGUUAAAUAAAGGUGAAAUAAAAUUAAAUAAUAAAUAAAUAGGAUGAAGAUGGUUCUCUGGCCAUCUUGGAGAGGUUCAGGUAAAGGGUGAGUUUCACCAUCAGCAUUAAUGUUUUAUGUUGUUUGAUGCAGAUACUGCUUUUUUUCUUGUAUUAUUUUACAAAUGAACUUGACAUAUU